ACUUUUAAUGGAUAACAGAAUUCCGA
rnacentral:tRNA from 1 species